AUUGAACGCUGGCGGCAGGCUUAACACAUGCAAGUCGAGCGCGCGGCGGGCGGGUGAGUAAUGUCUGGGAAUCUGCCUGAUGGAGGGGGAUCAACACUGGAAGCUGUAUCUUAUACCGUAUUCCAUCGGAUAUGCCCAGAUGGGAUUCGCUAGUAGGUGGGGUAAAGGCUCACCUAGGCGACGAUCCCUAGCUGGUCUGAGAGGAUGACCAGCCACACUGGAACUGAGACACGGUCCAGACUCCUACGGGAGGCAGCAGUGGGGAAUAUUGCACAAUGGGCGCAAGCCUGAUGCAGCCAUGCCGCGUGUAUGAAGAAGGCCUUAGGGUUGUAAAGUACUUUCAGCCGGGAGGCGUUACCGGCAGAAGAAGCACCGGCUAACUCCGUGCCAGCAGCCGCGGUAAUAC
rnacentral:rRNA from 1 species